CUAAAAAUCUAGCCUCACACCUAUAAUUUUUUCCCCUCCCCUCCUACCCACACAAACCAAAAUAUUUUCGAAAAUUUAGUAAAGAAGAUUGAAAAAUUUCACAGAGCAACAACCAUGUACCGCAAGGGAAAGAUGAAAUACUAAUGAAACAAAGUUAAGCACAAAAUAGUAGAGCCUAACUCUCGUACCUUUUGCAUCAUGGUUUAACUAGUCUACCCAAGCAAAAAGAAUUUAAGUUUGCCCCCCCGAAACUAAGUGAGCUACUUUGAGACAGCUUCAGAGCCAACCCGUCCCUGUUACAAAAGGGUGGGAAGAUCUCAAAGUAGCGGUGACAUGCCUAACGAACUUAGUGAUAGCUGGUUGCUCACGAAAAGAAUAUCAGUUCUACCUAAAGCAUAAACUGCUAACCAAAAAUAACACUUUACUUUAGAGCAACUCAAACAGGGUACAGCCUGUUUGACCCAGGAUACAACCUCCGCUGACGGGUAACUAAUUGUCCCCUAGCCAAGUGGGCCUAAGAGCAGCCACCUUCAAAAAUGCGUCAAAGCUUAACUAACUCAACAAGCAAUCCCAAAAAUCCCACCAAACCCUCUACCAGUACUGAGCACUUCUAUAACCUAUAGAAGAUCUUAUGUUAAAACUAGUAACAAGGAGACACAACUCUCCUCUUUUAUACAAACAUAAAUCAGCUUGGAUAACCCACUGAAAAUUAACAUUUCACUAAUGGUAACCCCACGAGAAAACCCCAUUAAUUACAAUGUUAACCUGACACUAGAGUAUAACAAGAAAGAUUAAAAGAAAGGGAAGGAAUUCGGCAAAUAACUAUCCCGCCUGUUUACCAAAAACAUCGCCUCUUGCCCAACUAUAAGAGGUCCAGCCUGCCCAGUGACCCACGUUCAACGGCCGCGGUAUCCUAACCACGCGAAGGUAGCGUAAUCAAUUGUCUCUUAAAUGGAGACUUGUAUGAAUGGCAUCACGAGGAUUUAACUGUCUCCCCUCUCUAAUCUGUGAAACUAAUCCCCCUGUGAAAAAGCAGGGAUAUCCUCAUAAGACGAGAAGACCCUGUGGAACUUUAAACAAGUAACAAUUGCUUCCCCUAACCCCACCCCCGGAACCCCCGCCCCCAAGCAUUCUAACUACAAGUUUUCAGUUGGGGUGACUAUGGAGAAAAACCCACCCUCCAUGAUGCAGACCUUAAAUUCAAAACCACAAGCCACAGCUUUACGUAUCAGAAAACUGACAUUCAUUGACCCAUACACAUGAUCAACGAACCAAGCUACCCCAGGGAUAACAGCGCAAUCCACUUUAAGAGCACAUAUCGACAAGUGGGCUUACGACCUCGAUGUUGGAUCAGGGUACCCCAGUGGUGCAGCCGCUACUAAAGGUUCGUUUGUUCAACGAUUAAAACCCUACGUGAUCUGAGUUCAGACCGGAGUAAUCCAGGUCGGUUUCUAUCUAUAAAGGGCUCCCUCCAGUACGAAAGGACCGAAAGAGCAAGGCCAAUGAAAAAUUCAAGCCUCACAGAUAAUUUAUGACUCACACUCAACAAAUCCCAAACCUACUCCCGCCGCCCC
rnacentral:rRNA from 1 species